CAGAGAAAGCCGCCGUUGUGGGGAACCAAACCCCGGGCGUUCAGCAGCGCGGUGCCGGUGCGUGGCCGUGCCGCAGCUCUGCCCGCACGGAGGCAACGAGCAGCAAGCAGCGGCGCCGCACGGCGAUCCCACCCGUGGGCCGGGGGCUCCGCAGAGAGCGGGGGCCGCACGGCCGCUCCGUUCCGUGCGCGUAACCGACGGCACGGCGCCCGUCGCGGGCCGUGCCCUCGCGGAGCCUCGCGGAGGGGCUGUCCGUGUGCCGGCAGCCGUAACCCCGGCGCUCCGUCCGUCUCCUCGCGCCCGGACGAGCGGCGGCAGCCCCCUGCCGUGCGCUGCUGCCCGCACGGCCGGCACGGCGCGGAGACCCUCCGCCACACACAGCGACCACAGAGACACCGAGCCGACUCUUUUUAUUGCCGACCUCAACCCGAGCCCGAGCUUCUCUUUCCGGCAGAGGUGCUGCCACACGUGGCCGCUGGCAGACCCCGGCGGCAGCGCGGCUACGGGGCAGCCGAAGGACACGGACGGACCCGUGCCAGGGGCGGCUGCCGACGGGGCUCAGCUCCUAGUGGGGGUGGUGGUGCGGGCCCGGCGGGUGGGGGCCCGGCGGGUGGGGGCCGGGUGGGUGAUGGCCGGGUGGGUGAUGGCCGGGUGGGUGAUGGCCGGGUGGAUGAUGGCCGGGUGGAUGAUGAUGCCCUGGAGGGCUGUGCGGUGCAGGUGGAUGCCCGUGCCCGGGAUGCGGCGGCGGCGGCCCUCCGUGCGGCCCUGCAGGAAGAGCUGCGCGUCAGGGCUGCGGAGCGGCCACGCGGCUCUGCUGGAGCUGUAGUGCCCCGGCUGCCGCGGGAGGCUCCUGGCCCCCAGCACGACCGGGCUUGCGGCUUGCGGCCAGCGGCAGGGCACGUGGGCAGGGAGCGCCCAAGCCCUACCCACGGGCACUCACCUGGGUGUGGGGAUGACAUCUUCUCACGGCCUCGAGCUGCAAGGGAAGCAGGGACCGCGCUGUCAGUGCUGCCUGCCGUGCACGGCCCUGGUGCCGGGCAUCCCCGUGUGCCCGCGCACGAAGAGCACACGUGUCCCACACGCGUCCCCACGGACGUCCCGACCCGUCUGGGGACCCCAGCAGCAGCCACCCUCACCUCUGCGGUCCCGGCACGACCCACGCUCGUGCUUUCCCUUGCUGAUGCCGAGAACCCAACCCUGCCUAACCCACCCCCUUCGGGCGGCGAGGAACAGCCGAGCCCCGCGCCCAGCCCGCGUCCUCGGGGCCACGCGGCUCCAGGACUCCGUCAGGACUCCGUCCGCCCCGCCACAGCCAGCCCUGCUGCCCCGCUGGGCGCUGCCGCUCAGCACCUGCAGAACCGACCGCACCGACAGCACCGCGGCUCCGGCGUCGUCCUCACGCAGCACACAGGCUGUCAGGGCCGGUCUCGGACACCCCUUAAGUACAGGGACCUGCCGUGCCACAGACAGGGCCGGCCCAUAAACACGCCGAUGGCUGUACGGGUGCCAUCACCAUAAGGAAGCCCAACAGACAGCCGGCGCACCCAGCACUGCGCACAAAGGUUUGCAGCCCUCGCCGGGCGCGGUGGGGAUGGGUGGUGGCUCCUCCGCCGGCACCGCGUGAUCCCUGCGGUCAGUGUGAGGUGAGAGUGGGUCGGGCACAGCGCAUCCGGGCAGGGAAUGGGGCCACGGACACGUUCCUUCACACCCACUGUACAAACCUUUGGUGGAAAGAGCUGUGUGGGCCAGGGAUGCUCUGAUGGCUUUUGUCAUCUGAUGCAUGGGGUGUGUGGCUGCUCGGUGCCUUCUAGUUUGGAUCUAGCAAUAAAGUUUCCUCUGUUGACUUUCAGGGUGAUCCG
ensembl:lncRNA